GCCCAAUGAUGAGACCAAGGCGAAUGCGAGCCCACUGAAUUAGAGUCUGAGCUCUCCUGUGCUUCUAUUGGCUGGUAAUCUUGGCUGGACUGCGAAGGUUUGCUGUCUUGCUGUAAGGGCCUGCCUAUAUUGAACAAGCCCUUUCCUUCGAAAUUUCCUUUUAAAGAGAUGGGGGAAGUGUAAAGGUGAGGGGCAUACAUUUUAUUUGUGUGUGUGUGUGUGUGUGUGUGAUCAGGAUCACAGGUUGAGUCUUGGUUUUCUGUAGUAAUUCUGUAGGCAUUGAGCUCUGUCUUUGGUAAUCUGAGGGCA
rnacentral:snoRNA from 2 species